rnacentral:rRNA from 13 species
GGAGAAACAACGAGAAGACCUCAAAGCUCGAGCGGAUGCAUUGGUGCAAAAGGAAUUGGCGGAAGCUCAAAAAGAAGUGGAAGUUGCUGCU